rnacentral:misc_RNA from 1 species
GUUUGUUGUUUCACACACUGUUUUUCUUCAUAUCUACUAGACAUAGUCUAUUUAUAAGCAAGCGUCAGUGUUGCAUAUGUAUGUACAUACAUAUACUCGAACAGAGAUAGAGACAUGCAAAAUUUAUAAAACACAAAAAAAAAAAAACAAUCAACAAAUAAGGUAUAUUCAUGCAUUGCGCUUCGCAAACAUGCAAUCGCGUCAAUCGUGAAUUGUGCGCACAAGUGAAAAGAACUCAGUUCGUGGUAGAAUUUUGUGAAAAUUUGACAAUUAUUAUAAGUGAAAAUUUUUUGUAUGCGCCCGAGUUAGCCGUAGGAAAUUUUGCAGUGAUUUACAUAUCGUUAGCAAGUAAAUUUAGUGGCUUUCGCGUUGCAAAAGAAACGCACUUGAGAAAUGCGUUUGGCAGGAUUCGGUCGUCUGUCGUCGUCGUAGAUGUAAAAUCGAUAUUUUCGUGCUGUAUCUUACGGCGAAAGGUGCUCGGCAGCAGUGCUGUCGCUUGAGCGCCGCAGCGCGGUAGCAACGUAACCGGCAGCGGCAACGUCAACAGCAGCGCAGCAAAGUCUACAGCAACGAAAAUAAUAAUAAAAUAAUAUAAGCAGCAACGCGUUUAACGGUAAAAUAGUGAGCAAUACGUUUACGAAAGCUGCGGAAUGACAACUAAGUGCGCGUCGCUGUCUGCGCUUUGCUAGCGCUCGAGCUUUUGCUAGCUGCAUAUCGACAGGCGCUGCCGCUGAUGAUAAUUAUAUUGUUGAUGAGAAUAGCUACGUCUAUGAUUAUGACUAUGCCUAUGAUUACUACGAUGGCGAUAACGUUGACGAACGCGAUGUCAUUCCCAACUGCCUGCUCGUUGGCGUAUCCGUGUCUCGUCGAUUUGUGCCGCUCGGCUACAAUCACUACCAACACAACCAGUAGCGCUACUACUAAUACUACUACUACUACCGUGAAACAUACAUGCGAGUCAGCUCUUUUAUGGAUGUUGUUGCACUUGUUGUUGUUACCGUCUGCAGCCUUAAAAUAUGCCGUAAAAAAUGUAAACGUGACUCGUGCAGCGUUGGCGGCGACGUCGUCGUUAUCGUCGUCUCUGUCAUCGUUGUUAGCAUUGGCUGCGGCGUUUUAAAGGAAGUGCUUUCUAGAAAGGCCAGUCUGUUCGCAAGCCAGUUAGUUAGUGGUGAGACAAAGAAGCGAGCGCCUAAAAAGAAGGAGUUAAACAAGACAGCCAGACAGCUAGGCAGUCUUUGAAGCAACUCAACUGGACCCAGUCACAGCACCGAGUGAGACAGGAAACGCGACCUCAAAGGCGUCGUACAUACUAAAGCAGCAACGUUAGUCAGCUUCUUGGCAGCGUUUUUUUUUUUUUUAGUUUUAAAAGAAUGAAACGCUCUGCAUAUUUGUGAAGUUAGUCGCAUUUAAGAAAAACUGUGUUUAAGCUGUGCUAAAUAUAAUAAUAAUGAUAAAGUUUGUUAGGCAAAAGAAUCGCGAACAAACAGUUAAAGCAUCAAGCAAGAGUUUCUUUAAGAAAAAGGGCGAGUCGAAUGAUUCCGGUACCGAAUCUGAUGGUGACGUCCUAGAUGUUGACAAGCAUCGCCCCUUAGACUUGGACAUGGAAACCAGCUUAAGCUCGUGCGCCGAUGUGAAUUCGCCAACCACAGACACCGCCUGCUCCUCGUCAGCGUCCUCUGCGAUGAUGUGUCAAUCCCACCUUUUAUACGAUCAACACAGCUCCGAGGAGGAAUUGGAAGUGAUCAAUGGACCAUCAUCGGUUGCAGCCGCUGAGGCGGCGUCCAAUGUAUUGGGGGUGCGGGGCACCGCCUCAUCACUCAUAUCGGAGCGUGGCUCAUCGUCGUUGGAGCCCGAAGAACUAUUCGGCGAAGCAUCGACAUCGAAACGUUCCAGCUCAACAUUAGUUGAGAAUCGUAAAAGAUCUCUGGCCCACAGCUCCGAUGAUGACCAGCUGAGGAACUUCUUGGAACCGGUGUUGACCCCAGUGAAUUUUCGCACAUCGCCACCAUUGGAAGCUUUCAAGCCAAACCGCAGCCACAAAUAUCGCUCCACAACGCCACUGAUAUUAUCGGAGGCGCGCUGUGGCAUCGAAAAUAUUAAAUUAUGUGAUAAUAGUGUUAAUGACGAAAAUGGUGAGGCUGCUGGCGCUGCGUCGUGUGCGUCGUCGUCGUUGGGCGCAGCAAGUGGUGGCAACGGUAGCGGUGGUGGUGGCGGCGCCUGCGGUGGUAACGCCAGUUCAACGAGUGUGAUUAAGGCGUGCGCCUCAUCGCUCAAAAUGAGCAAUAGCAGCCAUCAUAUCUAUCAGCCGCAACCGAAAUAUAAUUUCCACUAUAAUAGUUCGCGCAGCAGUCCAGCAUCAACGACCGCUCUCGAUGCGAUGGAGGUGCGCUCGGUUAGUCCACCGGCGAAACUCUUCCAUUCGGCUAGAUCACCACACCGCCGACCGAUACGCACACAACACGCCACACAGAGGCUACAGCGACCACAUCGGCCGUGCUUAGACUUCGACAAAAUGCAGCAACUCGCAUUACCCAAAACGAAUACAGUAUGAUGAUGCUGAUUGAUGAGGAUAAAUGAUAUCUAAGAAAGAUGAUGAUCAUGAUGAUGAUGAUGAUGAUGAUGAUGUUUAUGUUGAGGGAAGCAUAAUGAGUUAAAGAGCAUCUUUUGCUGCCUCCUUAGCGGCAGCGCGCUGAUGAAUGCGCUCAUGGCGACGCAGAUCACCGAGCAAACGAAAGCAUUUGGAACAAACUGUGCAUUCGUAAGGCUUUUCACCUAAAAUUAAAAAAGAAAAGAAAUGCUUAAUAAACAGAAAAGCUUAUUUCACAUAAUUUUGCCUCACUUACCAGUG